AUUGAACGCUGGCGGAAUGCUUUACACAUGCAAGUCGAGCGGCAGCGCGGGGGGCAACCCUGGCGGCGAGCGGCGAACGGGUGAGUAACAUAUCGGAACGUACCCCGUCGUGGGGGAUAACACAGCGAAAGCUGUGCUAAUACCGCAUACGACCUGAGGGUGAAAGCGGGGGAUCGCAAGACCUCGCGCGAUGGGAGCGGCCGAUAUCGGAUUAGCUUGUUGGUGAGGUAAAGGCUCACCAAGGCGACGAUCCGUAGCUGGUCUGAGAGGACGACCAGCCACACUGGAACUGAGACACGGUCCAGACUCCUACGGGAGGCAGCAGUGGGGAAUUUUGGGACAAUGGGGGGCAACCCUGAUCCAGCCAUUCCGCGUGAGUGAAGAAGGCCU
rnacentral:rRNA from 1 species